UUUUCAAAUUAUUCUCAUUUUGUUUUUCUCUUGGUCAUCAUACAGUGAUAUAUAAAACAUUAUGGUUGAGGUUGUUUGCUCCAGGAAGAAAAGACACCAACCACUGAAAAAAGAACAAAGCAAUUCAGCAUCAAUGUUUAGUGUUACUGGCUGUGUCAUUAAUGUUGCAAAGUAAUGUUGCAAAGUACAUUCUGUUGAACAUGCCCUAUUUUGUGAGACAUCAGAUAUUACCUUGGAUAUAAAAUCUAUCCCCUCCGGCGAUUUCUGACUGCUUUCAUUUUUAAUUGUGAUAGUCAGCUUUAUAGAGGUGUCGUGACAUUUAACAAAGCCAGUUAUAAAACCUGUUUGUUUGUUCUCUGUUGUGUGUGGCUGGAAAGAAAUGAGUGCGCUGACAGGCCUUAAUUGCUCUGAUCAGUCUUACCCAAAACACUCACACUUUGCUCAUGAGCACAAAUUGACAGAUAAAGUAAGACUCAAGAUACCAGCCUAGGUUACAAUUUAAGUAAGCUGGUAUCCAGACCUAUUGAGUGGAUUCAAAUAUUUUUAUUGGUUAUGUACCUAUAUGUACCUAUAUGUGAAAAAAUAUAUGUUUGUACAGAUAGCUAAUUAAAUUAGUACAUUAAGAUUUUUCAGCAACAUUUGCUAUCCAUCGGUUGUUUUUAUUUUGAAAUUCUUCCUUUCCCCACAAUGAAUAAGUCAGCAAUAAAAAUCCUUAAAGUGUAAGUUCUUAUGGCAAAUAAAUCUUUGAAGAUAUGUGAUGCAGACUUCAAAGCAAAAGAAAACCUCACAUUUUUGAAAUAGCCAAGUGUUUGCUAUGGAUUGAAAAUAACCAAAAUCUAUAGCAAAGUUAAUAUAAAAUUAAUUAAAUAAUCAAUUUCUAAUUGAAAUGAACAAGUCAUUAAUCAGUAUCAUUGAAAAAUCUAAUUAUUCUUUAUUUUCAAGAGUGAACAAUCUGGUAUUUUUUUGCACAUUUUUCCUUUCUUUCAAGCUUUUGUUUUCAAGACAAAAUAAGAGGUAUCUCUAAAUCAUCUUUGCAAGACAUCGACUAGGCUGUCUCAUGGAAACAAAAUUUCUGCAUUGUAAAGUUCAUAUCAUAGUAAUUCGUGAAGAAUUUGAAAAUUUGUGUUUCUGACUGAUGAAUCACAAGACUUGUGCUACAAACAUUGUGAGCUCUGGCUAAUGGUGUGGACAAAGAAGUGCCAGAGCCAUAUUGAAGAACAAAGGAGAUCUGAGUAGGAGCUUUCUGGCAGAACAGAAGAUGUCUUUUUCAGAGCAUGGGAUCAAUUUUUUGGCUCAUGUAACCCCAUUCUGGAUCUCAU